rnacentral:pre_miRNA from 1 species
ACACACAUCACCUAGGAAUCUUAUUCAAAUGUAGGUUCUGACUCAAUCAGUUUGGAACAGGGCCCCAGAUUCUGCAUUGCUAACAGGCUGUAAGGGGAUGUUGAC